CGAGCUUUUGUUCUGCUGUUUGGCCCUCCUGCCUACCCAGGGUCUAGGCUGUCCUUUAAUGGCUGCAUUUUCCUUCUCAGCUGCUUUGCGCGGCACAGCUGAGGUUGAACAACCAGGAAACA